UUAAAUUGAAGAGUUUGAUCAUGGCUCAGAUUGAACGCUGGCGGCAGGCCUAACACAUGCAAGUCGAACGGUAACAGGAAGCAGCUUGCUGCUUUGCUGACGAGUGGCGGACGGGUGAGUAAUGUCUGGGAAACUGCCUGAUGGAGGGGGAUAACUACUGGAAACGGUGGCUAAUACCGCAUAACGUCGCAAGACCAAAGAGGGGGACCUUCGGGCCUCUUGCCAUCAGAUGUGCCCAGAUGGGAUUAGCUUGUUGGUGAGGUAACGGCUCACCAAGGCGACGAUCCCUAGCUGGUCUGAGAGGAUGACCAGCCACACUGGAACUGAGACACGGUCCAGACUCCUACGGGAGGCAGCAGUGGGGAAUAUUGCACAAUGGGCGCAAGCCUGAUGCAGCCAUGCCGCGUGUAUGAAGAAGGCCUUCGGGUUGUAAAGUACUUUCAGCGGGGAGGAAGGUGUUGUGGUUAAUAACCGCAGCAAUUGACGUUACCCGCAGAAGAAGCACCGGCUAACUCCGUGCCAGCAGCCGCGGUAAUACGGAGGGUGCAAGCGUUAAUCGGAAUUACUGGGCGUAAAGCGCACGCAGGCGGUCUGUCAAGUCGGAUGUGAAAUCCCCGGGCUCAACCUGGGAACUGCAUUCGAAACUGGCAGGCUUGAGUCUUGUAGAGGGGGGUAGAAUUCCAGGUGUAGCGGUGAAAUGCGUAGAGAUCUGGAGGAAUACCGGUGGCGAAGGCGGCCCCUGGACAAAGACUGACGCUCAGGUGCGAAAGCGUGGGGAGCAAACAGGAUUAGAUACCCUGGUAGUCCACGCCGUAAACGAUGUCUACUUGGAGGUUGUGCCCUUGAGGCGUGGCUUCCGGAGCUAACGCGUUAAGUAGACCGCCUGGGGAGUACGGCCGCAAGGUUAAAACUCAAAUGAAUUGACGGGGGCCCGCACAAGCGGUGGAGCAUGUGGUUUAAUUCGAUGCAACGCGAAGAACCUUACCUGGUCUUGACAUCCACGGAAGUUUUCAGAGAUGAGAAUGUGCCUUCGGGAACCGUGAGACAGGUGCUGCAUGGCUGUCGUCAGCUCGUGUUGUGAAAUGUUGGGUUAAGUCCCGCAACGAGCGCAACCCUUAUCCUUUGUUGCCAGCGGUCCGGCCGGGAACUCAAAGGAGACUGCCAGUGAUAAACUGGAGGAAGGUGGGGAUGACGUCAAGUCAUCAUGGCCCUUACGACCAGGGCUACACACGUGCUACAAUGGCGCAUACAAAGAGAAGCGACCUCGCGAGAGCAAGCGGACCUCAUAAAGUGCGUCGUAGUCCGGAUUGGAGUCUGCAACUCGACUCCAUGAAGUCGGAAUCGCUAGUAAUCGUGGAUCAGAAUGCCACGGUGAAUACGUUCCCGGGCCUUGUACACACCGCCCGUCACACCAUGGGAGUGGGUUGCAAAAGAAGUAGGUAGCUUAACCUUCGGGAGGGCGCUUACCACUUUGUGAUUCAUGACUGGGGUGAAGUCGUAACAAGGUAACCGUAGGGGAACCUGCGGUUGGAUCACCUCCUUACCUUAAAGAAGC
rnacentral:rRNA from 1 species